CUCAUCGACGUCGAGGCAGAUGGUGGCACAUCAAAAAAGAGUCGACCUACUACUGCUAAUGCAGGAGCUCUAAAGAUAAGUUGUGAACUCCUACGUUUAUUUGUUACAGG